UGCUGGUUAGCUCAGUUGGUAAAGCACUCAAGUGGAAAUAGAGAACUCCCAGGUUCGAUACCAGGACCAGUUG
rnacentral:tRNA from 1 species